rnacentral:rRNA from 1 species
UACGUAGGGUGCAGGCGUUAAUCGGAAUUACUGGGCGUAAAGCGUGCGCAGGCGGUUUCUUAAGUCAGAUGUGAAAGCCCCGGGCUUAACCUGGGAACUGCGUUUGAAACUGGGAAACUCGAGUGUGGCAGAGGGGGGUGGAAUUCCACGUGUAGCAGUGAAAUGCGUAGAUAUCGGGAGGAACACCAAUGGCGAAGGCAGCUCGCUGGGACGGUACUGACGCUGAGACGCGAAAGCGUGGGGAGCAAACAGG